AUCACCAGCUAUCAUCUUUUAAUUAUCUGCUGAGUUACAAUCCUCCAAAUGUACAACUCAUGACAUUUACAACAAACAUUUAUGUUUAUAGUAUUUUACGCAGUUACUAUGGAUACAUCUCCACUGGCAUGUGUCUUUAGAAGAGCACAGAUCUGAUAAAUAACCAUUCAUACCUUUUAAAAAAACAGAAAAGCGUGGGCCCAGACCAGGAGACACACUGCGGCGUGUUGACAGGGUUAGGAAGGAUCCAAACCGUCGUACGUAAAGAGAAACCCGUCCUCUGGAGGCGACUGUUUGGCGUCUGCGUUCGGUUACCGGUUCUCACCAGAUUCCACACUUGGCUCCACACUGCCUACCCCAAGCUGUACAUUCACAACACACACACGAACUGUACACACACGUGUAGGAAUGGUGGCAGCUUUAAUUCACACGGUUCAAAACACACUCCCCGGUGUGUUCACCUCCGAUUCGGGGAUUUCUGAGGUGCCGUAGCGUUAAAACCACACCGGGGAGAGGAUCUUGAAGCAGCUCUUGUUCCAACUUCUCCUGUCCUUGUUGCUCUUCAUAACUUCACUCCACUAUUCUCUGCCCAUCUAAAAAUAUUAUAAAAGUUUCUUUUAUAGAUAUUUUCUUGAAUUCUGUUCACAGCACUACAAACAAAAGGAUUUUACACAUAGAAAUUUGGCUAUGCAAAAUGUCAAACACCGACUGUGAUGCAUUGAUCGGACUGAUGGGAAGUAGGCAAUUUUCUCAGCAACUGGAAGCAAACACAAUUUAUUCAGAUCAGAAAGGUUUUAGUCAAGUCCUGCACCGUCUUUGAUAUAAUGUGGUUUGUGUUAACCCUCGUGUCGUCCUGCGGGUCAAAAUUGACCCAGUUUAAAGUUUGAAAAUGUGGAAAAAAUAUAUAUUUUCUCAGUGAAAUUUCUGAUGUCCACAUUUUCAAAAUUUUUGGGAAAUUUUUGAACAUUUUUUGGUGGGAAAAAAAAAUGUUAAAAAUAUUUCUUAAGAACAUUCACA
ensembl:lncRNA